rnacentral:lncRNA from 1 species
GACAUCCCAUCUUCACUCCUAGGUGUUGAUUCCGGAUCUGAUUCUUUAAGUACGACGAGUGCGUUUUCAGAAUUCACCAGUGACAGUGAGUUAUCUAGGCAACCUUCAUUAACUAAUGUGGCAUUGGAGGACAUUCCCAAAGAUGAAUAUUAUUCAGGAGAACCAUACAUUCCGGCUGACAUAAAGCCAGAUUUAAGAAAUCUAGACGCAAUAAGUGCUGAUGUUUCAUCCAAAGAGAAAAUCUUAGAAGAAUCUUUACACUUAAAUGAUGUGAUUUUGUCAUUUCGGAAAACCGACAUAAGGUCUAAUUCAGAAAAAGACAAUGAAAAUGCGAAACCUAGUCCCGAGCUUGAAGAUGCCUUAUUAUUAAUGAACCAAUCUAGCAAUGAUGACUCCAAAUUUCUUCAAACUAUUAACUCUCAUCAUAGCAAUAAACAUUUUUUGGACCUAUCAUCAGCUAGUUCUUAUGCUGAAAGAAAUUCUUCCUGUAUGUCUACCCCUAAACAACUUGAUAAAGAUAAUCACUCGAUUCUAUCUGAGAAAAGUCAUCUUGAAGAUGGUAAGUGGGGAAAUUGAUUCAUUAAAGUAUUCAAGUAUGACCUGUGUAGAAUUUUAUUUUUGCACAGCCAAAAAUGUGUUAAGAACAGUAAUAUGAUUUAAAGGGAUCUGGUAUAACUUGAGUGUCUAUGGAUAUCACAUAUUAUCGAGACAAGUCGAAGAUGUGUAAUUUUAUGUACAAUAAAGAAUGUCUGUCAAGUGUUGUUUAAACAGGGAUGAUCUGUAGGGUUCAUGAACUCUAACAUGAAUUGCCUCCAAUUUACCAGCACCCAAUGGAAUUUUUUGCCAUUCAAUGCAACUUUCAGACCUUCUCUCAUAAUAUUACAAGAUUUGUAUGAAAGAUAUUUUAAAUGAAGUAAUCAGAUGAAAUUAGUUUUUUCAAACACUUAGCACAACAUUUUGUUGAUUUGUAUGAUAAAUACAAGAACACAUCUAUGCAGACUUAAGUAUCACAUUUUUCCUAAUUGAAAAAACAUGACACAUACAGCGAAACUUCAGAAAUGCGUAUCUUAGUUUGUAGCAUUGUAGAAUUUCGGGCAUAUUUUAUUCUCCACAUGGAAAACUGCAAAAAUUAAUUUCUUAAACACUUCGAUGAUUAUACCUCUGCAUGUAAAGAAUAUUCAGUGAAAAUUUCAAGCCGCAAUGUUAGUUUGGUGUCCUCCUAAGAAAUGGAAUGGGAGCGGAGAUUUAUAAACACGGAACUGGAGCUAUCCUUUUUUCCAGUUGUAACGUUGACAUGCUUGUGAAGAAAUGAACUUCUUUGCUGUGUUCCCCCACACCCAUGCCUCCUUUGAUCGGUGGGUAAAAGCACUACUCACCAGUCAACCCCUCCUUCUCUUGCGCAGGGUGAUCUGAAAGUUCAGCCUCACUAGCACCGUGCAUCAGCCCUAUAACUUUUGAAAAAAUUGAGUUAGACUCGAAAUUUUGUGAGUGCUCCUAAGUUCAAGGAAACUACUUUGGCACCCCUUCCCUCCAAAUUCUAUGGGAACCACCCUGAAAAUGGCAACCCUGGGGCUAAAGGGUUGGCGCUGAAAUUUUGGACCAUCCUGUAUCCUGUUGCUAUUUUUUCUUUUCAAUUAUACCCUAAGAAUUUGAAGUUGCCAGUUCAGCAUGCACGUUUCAAACCAAAAUAAUCAAAGCCUUUGCUAACGAAGAAUGCAUGUUACAAUUUCAUUUUCAAGGAAAUUUAUUUUGUAGUAAAUUUUGCAAGAAAAUUUACUUUAAUAUCGUGGAUUUCAGCUCUACAAUGCAAUCGUAGCAUCAAUUGAAACUUUAUUAACCCAUAAGACUUAUUGUAGCUUUUACGUUUCCCUCAAAAACAUUGUAUCACGUAGACAGUGCAUCCUGUGUUCCGAAAGGCGAGACAACUUUUAAAAUUCGCAUGCGAUGAGUGGUGGCAUUUGGGUGGCAUCAACCCGCAUCGAUGAGUUCGUGUGUCCCAGUUGCGCACAUCUGCGCAUGCGCAGUAGCGGCUCCAGUGAAUUUUCGUCGGAUUGUAAGGCUUUUUUCCUCGGUUAAUAAUUAGUUUGGAAAAAUGAAACAAUGCUAAUCGGGUGUAAAAUUAUGUGUUCUAUAAUUCUUCUU